GAGAACGGGCACUGCGGAGCGGAGCCGGCUCCGCGGGCUGGAGGUGGUUUGACGCCAGCUCGCGCUGCUCAGGGGGCUGCUGCCUCGGAGACAAAGGCCUCUAGCUGGUGUGGUCGCUCCCGUCCAGGCUCUGCGGCAGCACCGGCGAUGCUGAAGCACCUCGUCACUGACACAAAGGGGAAAACACAGGCCUGCAAAACUGUAGGGCUCGCUCCUAGAGCCCAGCGAGCCUCUCGCUAAAUCCAGGGCUGGUCACCUGCACUGAACCGUAUUAAAAUGCAUUGAGGAGAAAAUUCACAACUGAGCAUAUGGAGGUGGAGGAACAGCUACUUAUCACCACUCUCGGAGGAUCCUGAAAGAAACAUGGAGCGAGCCAUUUUGAUGCUUUCCUGUUAAUCCUGAUAACAUUGCUGAGGCAGAUAGUAUGCCAUAGCCGUAUGGUAUCAUAUACCAUAGACAGAUUUACAGGUAUGAAUAUGGGCCUUCUCAUCAGUGGAAAUAUCCCAACAGCAUUCCCAUGCUGUCUCCAUUCCAAGACCUGGCCUGAAACCUGACUGGAGAAGAUCAGGAUAUUGACAGUGGAUGGGUGCAAACUCAUUCUCUCUAGUCUAGUGACUCCUUGACCUCUCAACCUUAAACACAGCUAUGAAAAAUCAUCCACUUUCCUACCACAAGGACCAUAGCUAGUGCCUCUGAAUUCCUUUAUAGGCUUCUUCUCACCUUCAGCAUCAGAUUCAGUCCCAUAGUUCUCACCUUCAAAACCCUACAAAAACUUAGUUCCUACCGGUCUCAUCUUGUUUGGCUCCCUACUGUCUACAUGACUGUCUUAAACCUUUUAUUUCCUUCUCCCACUCUUGUCCACUGUUUCUCCUCCUCCACCUCCCCCAGAGUGUUUGAUAUGUUUUAGCUUUGGCUGCAAGUGCUUUGGGACAGGGAAACAGUCUUUCACUUGUAUAUAAACAAACAAGCAGUAUGUUUUGUAUACAUUAGCACUCAAUUAUGCCCCCCCCCCUUUUUUUUAAAUGGGCAAACCCUGGAGAGCUCCUGCAGCCAACAAAAAAAACCUAGGUCCCAUUCACAGCAUAACUACUCUGAACAGAUCAGGUGAUAGCAAUGGAGACCUCACUCACAGUUGCCAUUACAUAACUCAGUUGCCGUUACAUGGCAAUAUGUGCAUUGUGUGGUCUAAUAAGCUCUGAACUCUUGCAUUCAGCCCCAUCCUACAUAAUACUUUGUAUUUACAUAUUGACUUUCAUCAGAAAAAUCUCAGUGUUUUAAAGAGGUGAGGUUUCUUAACUUUAAAAUUUGCUCUGAGUUGCCUUGCUGUACUACAUCAGAUAAUUGUAACAUGUUUUCUUUUAUCACAUAUUUCCAGAAUGAUUAAUAGAGGACAAUCAAGUGGUAACAGAUUGCCAAAAUAAUUAGUCUCUUUAAAAUAUGCUCUGCUAGCACAUUUGUCUUAGAAUGAAUUACUUGUAAUAUUGUACAUCUUAUAUAAAAUUAAAUCUGACAAAUUAACCCUUCUCUGUAAAAUGUAUGUAUACUUUGCUGGUUGCUGCAGUGAUUUGGAUUUAAAUUCCAAAUAUAUACAUUUAUUUUAGUGAGUUUGUGUAUAAAGUAAAAAAUUGUUACACUUC